GAGGGUAUAGCUCAGUGGUAGAGUGCAUGCCUAGCAUGCGUGAGGUCCUAGGUUCAAUCCCCAGUACUGCCA
rnacentral:tRNA from 1 species